CUCAGAAGUAAAAGGUUUGAG
rnacentral:siRNA from 1 species